ACGCACACUGGCGGCGCGCCUAACACAUGCCAGUCGAACGAGCGAGAGAGAGCUUGCUUUCUUGAGCGAGUGGCGAACGGGUGAGUAACGCGUGAGGAACCUGCCUCAAAGAGGGGGACAACAGUUGGAAACGACUGCUAAUACCGCAUAAGCCCACGGUGCCGCAUGGCACAGAGGGAAAAGGAGCAAUCCGCUUUGAGAUGGCCUCGCGUCCGAUUAGCUAGUUGGUGAGGUAACGGCCCACCAAGGCGACGAUCGGUAGCCGGACUGAGAGGUUGAACGGCCACAUUGGGACUGAGACACGGCCCAGACUCCUACGGGAGGCAGCAGUGGGGAAUAUUGCACAAUGGGGGAAACCCUGAUGCAGCGACGCCGCGUGGAGGAAGAAGGUCUUCGGAUUGUAAACUCCUGUUGUUGGGGAAGAUAAUGACGGUACCCAACAAGGAAGUGACGGCUAACUACGUG
rnacentral:rRNA from 1 species